rnacentral:rRNA from 1 species
UGGGUGACCUGCCCUCAGCUCUGGGAUAAGCCUGGGAAACUGGGUCUAAUACUGGAUAUUCACUUCUCACCGCAUGGUGGGUGGUGGAAAGUUUUUUCGGCUGGGGAUGGGCCCGCGGCCUAUCAGCUUGUUGGUGGGGUGAUGGCCUACCAAGGCGACGACGUGUAGCCGGCCUGAGAGGGCGACCGGCCACACUGGGACUGAGACACGGCCCAGACUCCGUACGGGAG